rnacentral:rRNA from 1 species
UGAGGAUAUUGCGACAAUGGGGGAAACCCUGACCCAGCAAUGCCGCGUGUGUGAAGAAGGCCUUCGGGUUGUAAAGCACUUUCAGUGGGGACAAACUGGGCGGAGCUAACAUCUCCGUCCCUGAUGGUACCCCAAGAAAAAACACCCCCUAAAUCUCUGCCCCCACCCCCGCUAAUACACAGAGAGCGAGCGUUAAUCUCAAAUAUUGGGCGUAAAGCGCGCGUAUGCGGCUUUUUAAAUCUCAUAUGAAAACCCUCGCCUCUCCCUGGGAAUUGCGCUCUAUACUGUGGAGCUCUAGUAUGGUAGAGGGAAGUGGAAAUUUCCGUGUAUCGGUGAAAUGCGUAUAUAUUCAAGGAAACCCCUGGCGAAAGCGACUUCCUGUGCCCAUACUGACACUCAGAUGCGAAAACGUGUGGAGAGAACACGAGAAUAUACCCUGUGAGUCCACGCGCUAUACGAUGAGAACUAUAUGUUGUGGGAAAUUGUCCUUCACUGUCGCAGCUAACACGUUAAGUUCUCCGCCUGGGGAGUACGCCGGCCACGGUA